CUGGGAGGACCAUCUCCUAAGGCUAAAUACUCUCUAGUGACCGAUAGUGAACCAGUACCGUGAGGGAAAGGUGAAAAGCACCCCGGAAGGGGAGUGAAAUAGAACCUGAAACCGUGUGCUUACAAGUAGUCAGAGCCCGUUAAUGGGUGAUGGCGUGCCUUUUGUAGAAUGAACCGGCGAGUUACGAUUUGAUGCAAGGUUAAGCAGUAAAUGUGGAGCCGUAGCGAAAGCGAGUCUGAAUAGGGCGUUUAGUAUUUGGUCGUAGACCCGAAACCAGGUGAUCUACCCUUGGUCAGGUUGAAGUUCAGGUAACACUGAAUGGAGGACCGAACCGACUUACGUUGAAAAGUGAGCGGAUGAACUGAGGGUAGCGGAGAAAUUCCAAUCGAACCUGGAGAUAGCUGGUUCUCUCCGAAAUAGCUUUAGGGCUAGCCUCAAGUGAUGAUUAUUGGAGGUAGAGCACUGUUUGGACGAGGGGCCCCUCUCGGGUUACCGAAUUCAGACAAACUCCGAAUGCCAAUUAAUUUAACUUGGGAGUCAGAACAUGGGUGAUAAGGUCCGUGUUCGAAAGGGAAACAGCCCAGACCACCAGCUAAGGUCCCAAAAUAUAUGUUAAGUGGAAAAGGAUGUGGCGUUGCCCAGACAACUAGGAUGUUGGCUUAGAAGCAGCCAUCAUUUAAAGAGUGCGUAAUAGCUCACUAGUCGAGUGACACUGCGCCGAAAAUGUACCGGGGCUAAACAUAUUACCGAAGCUGUGGAUUGUCCUUUGGACAAUGGUAGGAGAGCGUUCUAAGGGCGUUGAAGCAUGAUCGUAAGGACAUGUGGAGCGCUUAGAAGUGAGAAUGCCGGUGUGAGUAGCGAAAGACGGGUGAGAAUCCCGUCCACCGAUUGACUAAGGUUUCCAGAGGAAGGCUCGUCCGCUCUGGGUUAGUCGGGUCCUAAGCUGAGGCCGACAGGCGUAGGCGAUGGAUAACAGGUUGAUAUUCCUGUACCACCUAUAAUCGUUUUAAUCGAUGGGGGGACGCAGUAGGAUAGGCGAAGCGUGCGAUUGGAUUGCACGUCUAAGCAGUAAGGCUGAGUAUUAGGCAAAUCCGGUACUCGUUAAGGCUGAGCUGUGAUGGGGAGAAGACAUUGUGUCUUCGAGUCGUUGAUUUCACACUGCCGAGAAAAGCCUCUAGAUAGAAAAUAGGUGCCCGUACCGCAAACCGACACAGGUAGUCAAGAUGAGAAUUCUAAGGUGAGCGAGCGAACUCUCGUUAAGGAACUCGGCAAAAUGACCCCGUAACUUCGGGAGAAGG
rnacentral:rRNA from 1 species